rnacentral:rRNA from 1 species
GACGAACGCUGGCGGCGUGCCUAACACAUGCAAGUCGAACGGGGUAAUCCUUCGGGGUUACUUAGUGGCGAACGGGUGAGUAACGCGUGAGAAACCUGCCUCUCAGUGGGGGACAACAGUUGGAAACGACUGCUAAUACCGCAUAACAUAUUCGGGGAGCAUCCCCUGAAUAUCAAAGCUUUAUGUGCUGAAAGAUGGUCUCGCGUCUGAUUAGCUAGAUGGCGGGGUAACGGCCCACCAUGGCGACGAUCAGUUGCCGGUCUGAGAGGAUGAACGGCCACAUUGGGACUGAGAUACGGCCCAGACUCCUACGGGAGGCAGCAGUGGGGAAUAUUGGGCAAUGGGGGAAACCCUGACCCAGCAACGCCGCGUGAAGGAAGAAGGCCUUCGGGUUGUAAACUUCUUUUAGUAGGGACGAAUUACGUGACGGUACCUACAGAAAAAGCAACGGCUAACUACGUGCCAGCCGCCGCGGUAACAC